UCGUAUAAAAUGGAGGUGCUGGGGCUGUCGCUGACCUUUGAAAAAGGUCGUGCACGCCUGGAGCACACUCUCAUAUCCAUCUCACCCCUUUGUGCAUUGCCGCGUGGGUCCCCUUUUGGCUUGUUCCGAGGGGGUGACCUGCGUUUUUACAUAGACACCCUUUGAAUGCAUGUGUAGAACGUCUUACUAUUUGUGAUAAUGCACAAUCAAUA
rnacentral:misc_RNA from 1 species